rnacentral:rRNA from 1 species
GACGAAGGGGGCUAGCGUUGCUCGGAAUUACUGGGCGUAAAGGGAGCGUAGGCGGACUGUUAAGUUAGAGGUGAAAGCCCAGGGCUCAACCUUGGAAUUGCCUUUGAUACUGGCAGUCUUGAGUACGGAAGAGGUAUGUGGAACUCCGAGUGUAGAGGUGAAAUUCGUAGAUAUUCGGAAGAACACCAGUGGCGAAGGCGACAUACUGGUCCGUUACUGACGCUGAGGCUCGAAAGCGUGGGGAGCAAACAGG